GGGGGCGUUAAGGUUUCGACGGGAUUGUUGAAGCCGGAGAAGCGGGUAGUGGAUUCUCGUUGGCCACUUUAAAAAACGAGAGUAAAAAAUAAACGCUAACAAUAACAGCGAAUUAGCUUUAGCUGCUUAAUAAAAGCAGCCGUCCUGCCUGGGAGGACCACGGCCCGGGACAGGGCGUCAGCAGUGGUGAACGUGACACGGUAAAGCUUUGAACCGUGCAUGACAAAUGAAGCUACUGAAGCUGCAAGCCUGUUCAUGGGCGUGCAGCGGAGGGAAUGUCAAAGCAUGAACUGCACC
rnacentral:tmRNA from 1 species